AUACAGAGGGUGCGAGCGUUAAUCGGAAUUACUGGGCGUAAAGCGCGCGUAGGCGGCUUAUUAAGUCAGAUGUGAAAUCCCCGGGCUCAACCUGGGAACUGCAUCUGAUACUGGUAAGCUAGAGUUUGGGAGAGGGAAGUAGAAUUUCAGGUGUAGCGGUGAAAUGCAUAGAGAGCUGAAGGAAUACCGGUGGCGAAGGCGACUUCCUGGCCUAAAACUGACGCUGAGGUGCGAAAGCGUGGGUAGCAAACGGGAUUAGAAACCCCGGUAGCCC
rnacentral:rRNA from 1 species